UACGGUAGGGGCAGCGUUGUCCGGAUUUAUUGGCGUAAAGAGCGUGUAGGCGGUUAGGUAGGUCCGUUGUGAAAACUCGAGGCUCAACCUCGAGACGCCGAUGGAAACCAUCUGACUAGAGUCCGGAAGAGGAGAGUGGAAUUCCUGGUGUAGCGGUGAAAUGCGCAGAUAUCAGGAAGAACACCCGUGGCUAAGGCGGCUCUCUAGUACGUGACUGACGCUGAGACGCGAAAGCGUGGGGGAGCGAACAGG
rnacentral:rRNA from 1 species